UCCAAAUUGUCCUCCAGAAUGGUUAGAUUAAUUCACAAUUCCAUCAACAAUGCAUUAGUGUCCAGGGAGGCAAAUUUGUAACCAAAACACCCAAAUAUGAAUCAUUUGUAUCUUAAUCAGAUAUGGAGAAAAACCACUCACAUUCUAAGAACAACUAAAGAAAUCAAAGUAACAAAUGAAAAACAAAGAAACAAAACACCAAAAUACUUUGUCCUGGUUCUCCAUUCAGAUGUGUCAGAGACUCACCUGCUUUGGACAUUGAUUUCUUUUCUUGUUUUCUAAUUUUGUCACUGAUGUGUCUGCUCCCCUAUUCUGACCAUUUCACUUUGCAUAAUUUCAUAAGUAUCUUUUCAUAUUUUCCUGUAAUAAUAAUAGCUAAUAUUAUAUUGCAUUUAAGGUUUUCGAAGAACUUCACAUAAAUUAUCUCAUUUAGUCCCACAACAACCCUGUGAAGGAGGUGCUGUUAUUGUCCCCAUUUUGUGGAUAAGAUAACUGAGACUGAGAGACAUUAAGAUUAACUUGCCCAGGACUGAGGUAGUAUUUGAACUCAGGCCUUCCCAGUUCCAAGUCCAGCAUUUUAUUCACUCUGCUACCCAGGUGCCUCUAAUCUUCAUCUAAAAUGGAAUUUUAAAAUAAUCUGUAAUUGUCCAGUUUGUGGCCUUGGAAAUGUAAAUGCAUGAAGGCUGACCUGAGUACAGCUACAGGGAGUAAUGAGAAGAGAACUGGAGUCAGGAGGUUUAGGUUUGACACACUCCCUGUGGAACUUUGGCUUCAUCAUACCCAGAAGCCUGCGGGUGUUCUCCCCCUGGGAACCAACCAUCUGGCUUUCUCUCCAUCCCGGUGAGUUAAGUGGUGCAAAUAUCUUACAGAAGAUGAAGAAAGAAAGAAAGAGUCUCAAAGAAGCAAAUGACAUACUACUCAGAGACCCUAGAGCUGGGUCUCAAACCCGUCUUUUCCAGCUUGAAAUCUAAAGUAAAAACACUAGGCUUAUGAACCAGCCCAAGUGAGAAACAUCUAAAGAGAGAAGCUCAUUUCCUGAGGGUGAGGUAUUUGCCCUCGUGGAAGAGGAAAAAGUCUUCUUGGGAAAACUAAUAAUAGACAUGUAGCCCUCUGCAAAAUCCAGUGGGGCCUCAUUUUACACCAACUCAACAGACUUGAAUUCUGGUAUAUGCAAAUGGAAAUAAAAAUGAUAAUAGCAG
rnacentral:lncRNA from 1 species